rnacentral:rRNA from 1 species
GAGAGUGGCGGAAGGGCGAGGAACACGUGAGCAACCUGUCUGGGUGGGGAAAACCGUGGAAACGACGGCUAAUACCGAAUGUGGCGCCCGGAGACAUCUCCGGAGCGCUAAAGGGGGCCGCAAGGCUCUCCCUCUUCGAGGGGCUCGCGCACCAUCAGCUUGUUGGCGGGUAACGGCCCACCAAGGCUUACGGUUAGCUGGUCUGAGAGGAUGGCCAGCCGCACUGGGACUGAGAUACUGCCCAGACUCCUACGGGAGGCUGCAGUCGAGGAUCAUUCGCAAUGGGGGAAACCCUGACGAUGCGACGCUGCGUGGAGGAUGAAGGCCCUUCGGGUUGUAAACUCCUGUCAUGAUGGAAAAGGAGAGGGGACCCAACACGUCCCUUAUUUGAUGGUACAUCAAGAGGAAGAGACGGCUAACUCUGUGCCAGCAGCAGC